CAGCCGCCACGGUAAUACGUAGGGUGCAAGCGUUAAUCGGAAUUACUGGGCGUAAAGCGUGCGCAGGCGGUUUGUUAAGACAGAUGUGAAAUCCCCGGGCUCAACCUGGGAACUGCAUUUGUGACUGGCAAGCUAGAGUGUGGCAGAGGGGGGUGGAAUUCCGCGUGUAGCAGUGAAAUGCGUAGAGAUCGGGAGGAACAUCAGUGGCGAAGGCGGCCAUCUGGGACAACACUGACGCUGAGGCACGAAAGCGUGGGGAGCAAACAGGAUUAGAUACCCCAGUAGUCCCUGUCUCUUAUAC
rnacentral:rRNA from 1 species